UUCAACUUUACCCUUUCUUCAAAUCAAUCAAAUUAGGGCUUCAGUUAGCAGCCCUCACUUAUUCAUCUUCUCAAGGUAGCAUGGAAGACUUCAUUGCAGGCUCUACAUCACCAGUGCCGAACAACCACCUCGUCGCCUCUGUCGUAGCCACCUCUAGGUAGAUGAGUCGCCGUCAAAGUUCAUCUUCCUAGUCCAUGUGUUCUCAUCUCCUCAUUUUCUCCUACAUAGGGCAAUGUUCGAGAAACCCAGCUGCAGCCUCUGCCAUGUUGCUGUCGAAGUCAACCACCAACUUGUUGUCAUCAUAGCUUCUGUGCCGUAGUCUUUGAUUUGGAUUCAUCAAAAUUAAGCUUCAGUUCUUCACUUUUGCUCCAUAAUGCAAGUGGAGGUCAAACAGCGAAAGGACAUGCCUCGCACUCUGAAGCCGGUGCAAGUGGAGGAAGCACAAGGCGUUAUGGGAAGAAGAGGUAGCAAUUUGAUGUUUUAGAGAGGAUGACUGACCAUAUCCAGCAAUCCUCAUCUGAGCAAAGGAAGAAUGCCAAACUACUUGCUGAUGCUAUCGUUGCUUGUCUUUUGGCAUGUAUUGAGUAGGUGAUGUAAUGCUUAAUACAAUAUGUAUGGUACUAUUCGUGUUAUUUAGCAAAAAAUAUUUCAAUUUAAGGGGGCUUUGUUAAUGAUCUUUCUUUCCUUCUAUGGUGUCAAAACUGUUUUAGUUUGUAUUAUAUGUGCAUGAAAAUUAUUACAUUAAUUCAGUUGCUUGUGUAUUGGAAAAGGGGUGAGAAUUAGUCUGGCUGUUUCAUGA